GACGUAGGGGGCCAGCGUUGUUCGGAAUUACUCGGUGUAAAGGGUUCGUAGGCGGUGCGGCAAGUUGGGUGUGAAAUCUCUGGGCUUAACCCAGAGGCUGCUUCCAAAACUGCUGUGCUUGAGUGUGGGAGAGGCGCGUGGAAUUGCAGGUGUAGCGGUGAAAUGCGUAGAUAUCUGCAGGAACACCCGUGGCGAAAGCGGCGCGCUGGACCACUACUGACGCUGAGGAACGAAAGCUAGGGGAGCAAACAGG
rnacentral:rRNA from 1 species